rnacentral:rRNA from 1 species
AUAUCAGUCAUGCAUAGCAUAUCAAUAAGCGGAGGAAAAGAAACUAACAAGGAUUCCCUUAGUAACGGCGAGUGAAGCGGGAAGAGCUCAAAUUUGAAAUCUUCAAGGUUUUACCUUGACGAAUUGUAGUUUAAAGAAGUGUUUUCUGUUGAAGUUUUGGUAAAAGUUCUUUGGAAUAGGACAUCAUAGAGGGUGAGAAUCCCGUAUUUGACCAUUACUUUCAGCUUUGUGAUACACUUUCAAAGAGUCGGAUUGUUUGGGAAUGCAGUCCAAAAUGGGUGGUAAAUUUCAUCUAAAGCUAAAUAUUGGCGAGAGACCGAUAGCGAACAAGUACCGUGAGGGAAAGAUGAAAAGAACUUUGAAAAGAGAGUUAAACAGUACGUGAAAUUGUCAAAAGGGAAGCGUUUGACACCAGUGUUGUUUUCUCGAAAAUCAAUUAAAAAGAGUUGGAUUUUGUGUUGUAUUGACUUUAUCAGCUUUCUUCACUCUUUUCCAGCUUUUUUUAAUGCACUUUUCGUUUAACAAGGUCAACAUCAGUUUCUUUUGUUGUGAAAAAGGUCAUUGGAAGGUGGCUUUCUCUUCGGAGAAAGUGUUUAUAGCCUUUGACUCAUGCAAUCGGAGAGACUGAGGUCUGCAGCGUAGAUCCUUCGGGGUUAGAUACAUUUGUGCUAAGUUAUAGCUUUUCAUAGACAACUUGUUGACUAUGUUUAGUCUUGUAGCUUACUCGCUUAUGCUAUUUUACCUACGCUUAGGAUGUUGAACUCUAUCACACACAG